GCUAGAUACAUGCACGGCCCGCCCCAUUGAAACCACUGGCUGAAGGGUCUGGAGCCCAACAGAAACAGCGGGAAAUCACGGUGGAGACACUCUUGGGGUGCAGGUGCCCAUGGUGACAAGCCAAUCUGGUCUAGUGAGAAUGCACACCAGGAUGAUAUUUAGGCACAUAUCCACUGAUAAAGUACAGUCUUCUGCAGCAUCCUCUCUCUCAGGUUUAAGAAUGGAUCCUAGAGAGUUCUGGAUUUGGUCUUUAUCUGCUUAUCUGACACCAUCCCCACUGUAUCCUGCUACUGGGAAAGAGGAGAAAACUUACUCUAACAACAGGACUUUGCCUCCAAUCCAGCCAUCCAGAUUGACCUAAGAUGUACCAGGGAGUCUGCCUGCCAGAGAAAAGCACAACUCCUACCUGAACUUGACAACAGUCACUACUUAUCUACUUCAGCUGGACCAUAAAAAGGAGUACAUAUUUAAAUGUUUUCCUUUUCCUUUCUCUGUUGGCCAAGUUUGGCUGGGGAAACUGAUUGGCAAAACUAACAUCAGAGUGUUUUGGUUGUAACUGGGUAAACAUUUCCUUCAUUUAAUGAAAAGAUUGAGAAAGAAAAGCUGGGUUUAUAACAUGCAAUGCUUAAGUAAAUAAAGAUAGAAGGAUUAGCAUGGGGCGGUGUGAUACAACAUGGCCAGAGGGCAGCAGGAAUCCUUAUUCCCUGUAGAGGGAAGAAAGUUUGCUAUAGAUUAAUUAAAGC